rnacentral:rRNA from 1 species
ACGGUAGCUAAUACCGCAUAACGUCGCAAGACCAAAGAGGGGGACCUUCGGGCCUCUUGCCAUCAGAUGUGCCCAGAUGGGAGUAGGUGGGGUAACGGCUCACCUAGGCGACGAUCCCUAGCUGGUCUGAGAGGAUGACCAGCCACAGAACUGAGACACGGACUCCUACGAGUGGGGAAUAUUGCACCGCAAGCCUGAUGCAGCCAUGCCGCGGAAGAAGGCCUUCGGGUUGCUUUCAGCGGGGAGGAAUAAUAACCUCAGCGAUUGACGUUACCCGCAGAAAAAGCACCGGCUAACUCCGUGCCAGCAGCCGCGGUAAUACGGAGGGUGCAAGCGUUAAUCUACUGGGCGUAAAGCGCACGCAGGCGGUCUGUCAAAUCGGAUGUGAAAUCCCCGGGGCUCAACCUGGGAACUGCAGAAACUGGCAGGCUAGAGUCUUGUAGAGGGGGGUAGAAUUCCUGUAGCGGUGAAAUGCGUAGUCUGGAGGAAUACCGGUGGCGAAGGCGGCCCCCUGGACAAAGACUGACGCUCACGUGCGAAAGCGUGGGGAGCAAACAGGAUUAGACUACCCUGGUAGUCCAACCGCCGUAAACGAUGUCGACUUGGAGUGUUGUGCCCUUGAGGCGUGGCUUCCGGAGCUAACGCGUUAAGUCGACCCGCCCUGGGGAGUACGGCCGCGGUUAAAACUCAAAGUGAAUUGACGGGGGCCCGAACAAGCGGUGGAGCAUGUGGUUUAAUUCGAUGCAACGCGAAGAACCUUACCUACUCUUGACAUCCAGAGAACUUUCCAGAGAUGGAUUGGUGCCUUCGGGAACUCUGAGACAGGUGCUGCAUGGCUGUCGUCAGCUCGUGUUGUGAAAUGUUGGGUUAAGUCCCGCAACGAGCGCAACCCUUAUCCUUUGUUGCCAGCGCGUUAGGCCGGGAACUCAAAGGAGACUGCCAGUGAUAAACUGGAGGAAGGUGGGG